rnacentral:rRNA from 1 species
UACAGAGGUCUCAAGCGUUGUUCGGAUUCAUUGGGCGUAAAGGGCGCGUAGGUGGCGGGGCAAGUCAGGUGUGAAAUUUCGGAGCUUAACUCCGAAACUGCAUUUGAUACGGCCUUGCUUGAGGACUGGAGAGGAGACUGGAAUUCACGGUGUAGCAGUGAAAUGCGUAGAGAUCGUGAGGAAGACCAGUGGCGAAGGCGGGUCUCUGGACAGUUCCUGACACUGAGGCACGAAGGCCAGGGGAGCAAACGGG